UCUGUCCACCUCGGGGCGGCUAUGCCCAGGACCCGGACCCCAGCUCUUACCACUCUUCUGCUCUGCCCUGGCUUUAGGCAAGUUCUGGCUUGGUCUUCCUACCCUGUCCCCUGCCCCCAGGUCCCUGUCCUUCCAGAAUCAAGGACAUUUAUAGAAACUGGCCUUUAGAGAGGAAGAGGCUGAGCAGGGCCCUGGGAGAGAAUCUCAUUCCCCUGGGCCUGCUUCCUCAGGCGCCAGGCUCCAGGCUCGGAUGUGGCAGUUUCUCUCUCACCGUGCCCUGAUCAGGAGCUGGGGGCAGGCUGGGGAAGCCACAGAGAGAUGCCACACACAACUGAGCCAGCCCACCUGGGGCUGCAGCCGAGCGCCCCCAAACAGACCCGCCGAGCUGCUGUUUUAUAAUCAACCUGUAAUUGCAUUAUCUCAAAAAAUAAAUGAAGAGUCAUUAUCGCUAAUCUGCUCGGGCUCCGCCGCUGAGACAGGAACUCCAACAGUCGGGCCUGUGUUUGGCUACACAUGUCCUCCUGUGGGUUCAAAGGAGACUUCUGUUUAAUGUCAACAUUUGCUUUUGAAACUUUUUUUGUUUUGCGGUGUUUUCAUUAUUUGCUUCUGUGUUGUCCUUGCCCAGCGUGAGAACACCCGGAUGCCGGGGCCCUAACCCGGUCUUUGGGCAUCUGUGAGAUCCUGCACACCUGUGUGACCCUCGAACACCGGCUUAUCUUGCACGGACAAGGAUACCCUCAGACUCCCGGAGACAGAAGAGCCAGUGCAGCUGUUUGGAAACAUGCUUGCUGGUGGCUGACCUGUUCCCCAGGGAAGGCAGCCUCCUCCCCUGCAGUGAGAAAGCUCUUGCUGGGGACGGAGAGCCCCGACACGGUCUCCACCUCCCGCACCCAUCAUUGAUUGGCUCAGAGGCUCUUUCGUGUCUCUGUCUUUGACCUUCUGGCUACAGGGCAGUCCUAACUCAGCCCGUCUCUGCUCUGCACGGUGUCCUUGGAGGCUCCACGCCAUCCCUUCUGCUCCAGGAUUCAUUCCCCUCCACUUAGAAAGCCCCUCUCUUGUGUGUAGAUGGAGAAAUCUGCCUCAUUUCCCUCGCAGUUCGCUUUUAUAUUCUCUGCUACCCCGGGGGGCAUCCUGAAUCGUGUGCAGCCUAAUUCAAGAUGACAAACGUGGUUUCUGGGAGGCUGAGAACACGGAGCAAUCGCCCUUCUUACUAGAGAACCAGAUGGUUGUUCUGACGCAGGUUUGCCUUUUCUCUUCCAAGCAGGCUGCCUUCCGCUGAAAAGCGUCGCUGAGUCUCCACGAGACCCAGAUCGAAUGCAGCACCAGGCGAAUGGCUCCUUCAUGCCAGCCACCUGCCGCAUCCGACUGCAUUUUUACAUUUAUCAACGACCUCUGUGAGGCAGAUGUCGUCAUCCUCACUUUAGAGAUGAGAACACUGAAGCUUACAGAAGUCAAGUGAGGAGUCCAAGACGGCGAGAUAGGAGAGCUGCAAAACCUGACCCUGAGCCCGGGUCUGUGACCCUUGCCAUGCUGCCUUCCCCCAGCGCUGACGUGAUUGACGAUCCGCUCUUGGACCUGUUAGUCGCUCUGAGCCUCAGUUUCCUCCUCCAUGAAAUGGGAAUAAGAAGUUCUGCUUUCCAGAGUUGUUGAGCGCUUUGAACUUAAGAUCGGGGGUAAAGCAGCAUAGUUUGUGGCACAUGAGAGCUCCGCAAAUAGUACCACCGUCUGAUGACAGGUGGCCGUGGAAUCUUCCGCUACCAUCUGUGACAAUCCCCCCACGUUACAGAUGAGGAGACAGAGGCCAGAGAGUUUAGGGGAACUUUAGGGGCCAGGCGAUGUGUUAGAGAGAGACCGGGACUGACAUGCAGAUGUCCUGAAUCCAUGUUCGCGCUCUUUCAACUACAGAUUCGAGUUCAUCAAAGGUGACUUUUGGAAGAAAGGAAUGUUUGUAUCUUGGCCUCUGAGCUUCUUAGCUGCAUUCCAGGCCCCUCCCUACACCCCUUCCUUCCCUCCCUCCUUCCCUCCCACCCUUCCUUCCUUCCUUUACUUUUUGAUACCAAAUUGCAAUUGAGGUAAAGUUACAAAGGAAAGACAGAUGUGGGCAGAUAGUUCUUGACCCUUGGUUCCCAAUCUGGGGUCCCUGGAUCCGUAUCAGCAUCACCUAGGAACUCAUUAGAAGUGCAAUUUCUUGGGCUCAACCCAGACCUCUUGAGUCAGAAACUCUCUUAAAAUGGAGAUUAAAAAUAUAUAUAUUGUAUCCAUAAAAGACAUUAAGAAGGGGAUGUUAUGAAAAAACAAGAGCUUUAGAAAAUUAAAAAAAAAUAGAGCCAAAUGAGAAAAUGGAGAGGAAAGAUAAAAGAAAAAGUAGAGGAAAUCUCUCUGAAAAAUGGAAUAAAAAAACAAAGUAAUGAAAAACAAAGAAUGAAAGACAAGAAAAUUAAAGAAUUGGUCAGGGUGAUGGGGUUGGGAGGGCCAUCUGACUGGUAGGAAUUCUGGAAAGAGAGAACAGAGACAAUGGAGGGAAAGAAAUUUCAAAGAAAAAACACUGGAGAAAAUUCCACCAAAGCACCAAAGUUCAUAAGCCCUUCCCACUUCCUUUUACCUAAUAAUGGAAAUCUUCAUUGAAAAAAACUCCCCAAGACAC